UACGGAGGGGGCUAGCGUUGUUCGGAAUUACUGGGCGUAAAGCGCACGUAGGCGGCUUUGUAAGUUAGAGGUGAAAGCCCGGGGCUCAACUCCGGAAUUGCCUUUAAGACUGCAUCGCUAGAAUUGUGGAGAGGUAAGUGGAAUUCCGAGUGUAGAGGUGAAAUUCGUAGAUAUUCGGAAGAACACCAGUGGCGAAGGCGACUUACUGGACACAUAUUGACGCUGAGACGCGAAAGCCAGGGGAGCAAACGGG
rnacentral:rRNA from 1 species